rnacentral:rRNA from 1 species
GUGCCAGCAGCCGCGGUAAUACGUAGGGCGCAAGCGUUAUCCGGAAUUAUUGGGCGUAAAGAGCUCGUAGGCGGUUUGUCGCGUCUGCUGUGAAAUCCCGAGGCUCAACCUCGGGCCUGCAGUGGGUACGGGCGGACUAGAGUGCGGUAGGGGAGAUUGGAAUUCCUGGUGUAGCGGUGGAAUGCGCAGAUGUCAGGAGGAACACCGAUGGCGAAGGCAGGUCUCUGGGCUGUAACUGACGCUGAGGAGCGAAAGCAUGGGGAGCGAACAGGAUUAGAUACCCUGGUAGUCC